ensembl:lncRNA
AAAAAAGUAGGAAGGGCAAAACUGUGGGACAAAAAGCAGACUCUCUGUGUAAAAAGAACGUUUCCAGGAAGAUGUUGGCUGCAUCACUGUGAUGAAUCAAACAUCCUGUAACCACAAGACCCAGAAGCUCACUCUGGAGAAGAGAAGGCCUCGAGGUGUAUUGCUGAGGGGUAGGAGAAAGACACAGCUUCUGAAAUCAGUGAGUCUUGAGCACAAGGUGAGAUCAUCCCGUGGUGCUCUGGAGCUCUGGGAGAAGGGACAGUCUGAGGAGCCUGGAGGACAAUUUGGUAUGCCUUUUCGGAGUUUUUUAGAGUGUGGUUUGUUGAUUUGUUCUCUGGACUUCAAUGACUGUAUUUAAAUGGAAAUUCAUAUUACUAAUUUUUUUUUUUCUUUAAACAUCUACGUUCAGGUAAACUAAAACUGUAUCUAAAUCUCAUUCCAC